UCCGUAGGUGAACCUGCGGAAGGAUCAUUACCGUUGGAGCUCGCUCCAUCUGGGAUAGAACCCUUGAAUCUGAGUACCUUUUCGUUUCCUCGGUGGGCUCGCCCGCCGGUGGACAACCUAAACUCUUUGUAAUACCAGUAUCUUCUGAGAAAAACAAAUAUUCAAAACUUUCAACAACGGAUCUCUUGGUUCUGGCAUCGAUGAAGAACGCAGAUGAAAUGCGAUAAGUAGUGUGAAUUGCACGAAUUCAGUGAAUCAUCGAAUCUUUGAACGCACAUUGCGCCCUUCGGUAUUCCGUUGGGCAUGCCUGUUCGAGCGUCAUUAUAAACUUCAAGCUCAGCUUGGUGUUGGGUGCUUGUCCGCCGCCUGGCGGCGGACUCACCUCAAAUGCAUUGGCGGCCGGUAUGUUGGCUACAGCGCAAUACAACGCGUCUGGCGUCUUGAUAUACUGGUCCUCCAGAAGCCCCUUCUUUGACUUGACCUCGGAUCAGGUAGGGAUACCCGCUGAACUUAAGUCAUAUCAAUAAGCGGAGGAA
rnacentral:rRNA from 1 species